rnacentral:tRNA from 1 species
GUUAAUGUAGCUUAAAUACCAAAGCAAGGCACUGAAAAUGCCUAGACGGAUUAGCAUAUCCCAUAAACA